rnacentral:rRNA from 1 species
GACGAACGCUGGCGGCGUGCUUAACACAUGCAAGUCGAACGAUGAAGCUGGAGCUUGCUCCGGUGGAUUAGUGGCGAACGGGUGAGUAACACGUGAGCAAACUGCCCUUCACUCUGGGAUAACUGCGGGAAACUGUAGCUAAUACCGGAUACGAGACCUUGGGGCAUCCCAGGGUCUGGAAAGAAUUUCGGUGAAGGAUGAGCUCGCGGCCUAUCAGCUAGUUGGUGAGGUAAUGGCUCACCAAGGCGACGACGGGUAGCCGGCCUGAGAGGGUGACCGGCCACACUGGGACUGAGACACGGCCCAGACUCCUACGGGAGGCAGCAGUGGGGAAUGUUGCACAAUGGGCGAAAGCCUGAUGCAGCAACGCCGCGUGAGGGAUGAAGGCCUUCGGGUUGUAAACCUCUUUUAGUAGGGAAGAAGCGCAAGUGACGGUACCUACAGAAAAAGCACCGGCUAACUACGUGCCAGCAGCCGCUGUAACAC